rnacentral:rRNA from 1 species
UACGGAGGGGGCUAGCGUUGUUCGGAAUCAUUGGGCGUAAAGGGCGCGUAGGCGGUCUGGUGAGUCAGUUGUGAAAUCCCUCGGCUCAACCGAGGAAUUGCUUCUGAUACUGCCGGACUGGAGUCCCGGAGAGGGCAGUGGAAUUCCCAGUGUAGCGGUGAAAUGCGUAGAUAUUGGGAGGAACACCAGUGGCGAAGGCGGCUGCCUGGACGGGUACUGACGCUGAGGCGCGAAAGCGUGGGGAGCAAACAGG